CCGAAUUACAGCAAUCUUGGUGCCUGCUGAGGUGGGAGUCAGGGAGGCUGUGGAAUUCUGAGCUUCCUGGUUGGCUGAGGAGAGAGGGCUCAGGGGAGAGGUCUUCCUCCCACCACUGCCUUAGAGAAACCCCAAAACCUCAUAGCUUCGAACCCCAGAAUUCUCUGGUCUUCUGCAAAAAUGCAGACAUGCUGGUGUCAGGAAUCAGCCUGGAGUCCCAGGAGCAGCAUCUCACAUCUUUACGGCAACACAAAACAAAGCAACACAAAAACAACAAAUGCAAAGAUAUCUUCUUGAGGAGAGGCCUCAACUGAAUGAGCAGGGAGGGGCGUGUUCCUUAAACCAGUGGUUCUCAAAAGGUGGUAUCUGGACCAGCAGCAGCAGCAGUGCCACCUGGGUGCAGACCAGAGGAUUCCAGAGCCCUGAGGGCUCCUAGAAGGAACACAGUGACAUCACAGAGUCAUUGUGGGGGAGGGGUUGGGCCAGCCAGGGCAGGCAGGGACAGCCCCUCUGAUGAGGAGGCCACUGGGCUGAGACCAAUGAAUGAGAUGGAGCCAGCCACGUGGUGAGCCAGAAGAGGGCAUCACAGGGCUUGAGUCUGGGGGAGCCUGGCUGCCCAGAGGUGGCAGAUGACAUGAAGAAAUAACCAUGUAAGGGCUGGCUGUGUAUGAGGUAAGGAGAAAGGAGAUGGGGUUGGGGAGGAGGGGGACUCAGAGGAGGGAGGGAAUGGAAGAGCAAACAUCAUGGCUUCCUCGUCUAGAGCAAGCAUUGGGAAGGAUGAAUGCCAACUAUGUUCCAGGAACUUCCACUGUUCUCACACACCCAGGUGAGUGGUGUUCAGGUGGGUGGCACCCAGGUGAGUGACAUCCCAGUUGAGUGGCACCCAGGUGAGUAGCAUCCAGGUGAGUGACACCUAGGUGAGUGACAUUCAGGUUAGUGGCGUCUGUGUGAGUGGCAUCAUCCAGGUGAGUAGCUUCCAGGUGAGUGGCACCCAGGUGAGUGGCAUUCGGGUGAGUGGCAUUAUCCAGGUGACACCUGGGUGAGUGGCAUCCAGGUGAGUGAUAUCAUCCAGGUAAGUGGCACCUAGGUGACAUCCAGGUGAGUGACGACAUCCAGGUGAGUGACAUCAUCCAGGUAAAUGGCACCCAGGUGAGUAGCAUUCAGGUGAGUGACACCCAGGCGAGUGGCAUCCACGUGACUAGCAUUGUCCAGGUGCAUAACACCCAGGUGAGUGGCACCCAGUUGAGUGGUGCCCAAGUGAGUCACAUCCAGGUAAGUGGGGUCCAGGUGGUGGCACCCAGGCGAGUGGUGCCCAGGUGAGUGACAGCCAGGUGAAUGGUGUCCAGGUGAGUGGCAUCACCCAGGUGAAUGGUGUCCAGGUGAGUGGCAUCCAGGUAAGUGGUGUCCAGGUGGUGGCACCCAGGUGAGUGGUGUCCAGGUGAGGGGCAUCACCCAGGUGAAUGGUGUCCAGGUGAGUGGCAUCCAGGUGGGUGGUACCGUCGACGUGACAAUAGCUAAAAAUUAUUGGGCUCAUUGUGGACAGGCACUGUGCCGAGCUUGACAUCACUGAACUCAGUUCAUCCUCGCCAGGAGCUUGUGGGCCGUCCCUAGAUCAGAAUCCGAGGAGAAAGGACUUCCACACGGCAGCCAGCGAGCUGGAGGGCGGCCUCCUGCCACCACCAGGCUCCCUAACCCAGUCCUGGAUAUCUGUGAAAGAAUGAGUGGAUCCCCACAGGCCAGCUAUCCCCAAACACACUCGUUUACACUGAAGCACCAGGAGAUCAGAACCUUCUGGAAUCUUAAUAUGCGAGGACUCGGUGGAGAAGGCGGCACUGAAGAAGAGUCGUCCCUAGGCCAGGCUGGAGGGAAACUCAAGACGGCGGCCUGGCCCUCCUGGGUGGCGGAAGUGGGAGCAGCAGGAGCCCUGGCGGAUCCGGGAGGCCAGAAGAGCGGAAGCUUCCUCCCCUCUCAGGACAGCCACAAGGACUUUCGGGGGUCGUGGCAGCUGCUCCACUUCCAACUUCCAGAUCCCUCUCACUUUCCUCUUCCCACCAACUCCAACCUGGGACCAAGCAGGGGAAAGCAGCUGCAGCCCAGCUUGACGCCCCUGCAAAUGGAGACCUGUGCACCUGGUUGUGAGCAUUUUAAAGGGUGUCACACAGGGCAUACCCUUCGGUGCCUGGAUUCCUUUGAUGAAAGGGCAAAGCCUUGAACCUAAGUCAUCUUCGAGUCCUCAGCACUUCACCCAGAGCCUGGCACACAGUAGGAGCACAGAAAGGUUUACAUCCAGCAGGAGUUGGCCCUGAGCUCUGAGUCCAGAUCAUUGCUCUUGGCUGAAGCAGCCUGUCUACUCACAAAGAUGAGCAUGGUCCCUGCCACGAGGAAACUCGUGGUCCUGUGGACUGCGGUGUGGAGGGAAAGCUUGGGAUUCUGAGCCUGAUAAUGCACCAUUACAUCCCCACUCACUCGGGCUGUGUGAACCCAGCAAGUCACAGGAUCACUGGGUGGUGAAAGAAAGAAACACUCACAGAAGCGUCUGUGCUUGGAGAGCCAUCUGGUCCGUCAUUGUGACUGCUGCUCUCAUUGCUAUCAUGGGUGUCACCAUUGCCAUCACUCAAGGACUUCUCUCCAGGCCCCGAAGCCAAGCUGGUGCCUGGUUCCUCUGGGUUGGGAGAGGGGCUGGGCAUGGACAGGAGGAGGGAAAAGGGACCUGUGCUAGCAGGUGAUGCCAUCCAAGACAUCUGCAUCCUAAUCCCUGGAACCUGGGAUUCCACUAGGUGCCAUGGCAAAGAGGGAUUAAGGUGGCAGGUGGAGUGAAGGUUGCUAAUCAGCCGACCUUAAAGUAGGGAGAUGAUCCUGAAUGAGACAAAAGAGAGAACCAGUCAUGGUGUCAUGAGAAGGACUCAAAAUGCAACUGCUGACUUUGAAGAUUAAGGGGCUACAAACCAAGGAACGUGGUAGUCUCUGGAAAAGACAAGGAAUAGACGCUGCGUUGGGGCCACCAGAAGGAACCAGCCCUGUCAACACCCUAAUUUUAGCCCAGUGAGGCCUGUGCUGGACUUCUGACCUCCAGAACUGUAAACUAAUAAAUGUGUGUUGUUUCUGCCACU
rnacentral:lncRNA from 1 species